GACGAACGCUGGCGGCGUGCCUAAUACAUGCAAGUCGACCUUAGUGGCGAACGGGUGAGUAACACGUGGGUAACCUGCCCAUCAGAAGGGGAUAACACUUGGAAACAGGUGCUAAUACCGUAUACUGAUGGAUGGACCCGCGGUGCAUUAGCUAGUGGGUGAGGUAACGGCUCACCAAGGCCACGAUGCAUAGCCGACCGAGGAGGGGUAUCUGAAAGAUUGGGAGUGAAACACGGCCCAAACUCCUACGGGAGGCAGCAGUAGGGAAUCUUCGGCAAAGGACGGAAGUCUGACCGAGCAACGCCGCGUGAGUGAAGAAGGUUAUCGGAUCGUAAAACUCUGUUGUUAGAGAAGCGGUAUCUAACCAGAAAGCCACGGCUAACUACGUGCCAGCAGCCGCGGUAAUUC
rnacentral:rRNA from 1 species